CCGCUGCCGGGAAACCCCGGAAGUGAGGGCAGGAGGCGGGCGGGAAGAAGCCGCGCGUAGCCUGCACGCGGGAGGGGCUGGCGAUGCGCAGGCGCAGAGGCCUUCUUGCACAUGCGCGGAAUGGUCUUCUGUCGCCCACCGCCCCGGAACACCUGGAACUGCCUGGGCGGCCGUUAUUUCUUGCCGGGGCUCCUCCCCUCCUCACGUUUGCAGCCCUGGUGGGCCGCGUUCCCCGCGGUGCUUCGUGAGUGCAGAAUUGUUGCCUGGGUUAGGACCUGCAUUUCUUUCUCAGGGGGAGCUGCAGUGAAGAGACUGUGAGGUGAGGUGAGUCCGGGAGGCUCCGAGGCCAGUCUCGUUGCAGAAGCAGUAUCCGGAGGCGCCGGGCUUGGCGAGGAUCGAACUGGACUUAGUGAGGUUUCGAAGAUCCUCGCGCUCAGUUUCUUUCGCAGGACCCAACCGUGAUAGGGGCCACAAGCACUGGAAGACUUUGGGGUGGGGACUUCCCACUCCCGCCGGCCUGAGACGCUCCUGUAGGGCUCUGGUGGCUUCCGGGCAGUCGUUCGAGGUUACCUGGAAGGAGUACCCACGACUCUCGGUGCCUGCGCUGCAAGACUGUCCACCUUCCUGAAAGGAACAAUGAUAUUCCUUCUAAAGCGAGUGUGGACGUAAGAAACGUCCAGAGUUGUAGAGAAUUUUUAUGAAUUUGGACAAAAUGGACAGUUGCCGGAAACAAAAUCUCAAAAAAUUUGAGAAAAAUAUUCUGGAGAAUGGCAGCUUGGCAGCUUAUUUUAUACGUUGAAAAAUGGAGGAGAGGGGAUGAUGCCCGCUGAGCCUGCACAAUGCCACCGCUGUGGGGAUCAAAUGCGGUCACGGCUCCCAAAGUGGUAUGAAGCGAUUCCAAGCCACAUAAACAUGAGAAGAAGGUGAUGCAUUAUCAGAACUGCAGUUACUGUCUGACCUUCACUUGAAUGACACGCGCAGAUUAGGGAGGCCCAGAAGUCAAUUAACCCACAACUAACAGGCCUGAAAGAACCAUAUACACCUCCUCUUCUCACUGUCACCUGCAUUAGUUUCUACGGUACUCUCUGGAGGCUGGCCUGGCACAGGUGGUGGGAAGGUGCUAUUUCCUGUGCUCAGAGAGCUACAGCUACAACUGGAGUACAUGGAAAUAUGUACAGAAACAACACCAAAAAGAAAAUGAGCACAGUUUAAAAAGUCAAAGUGACAUCUGAACCAAGUUAUCAGGCCCCAUCCUGGCAGUUUUUGUCUUUCAUGCCACUGAUGCAAAUGUGACUGCUAUCAGCAGCGGGAAUCUAGCAUGCUAGAGAAGGAAAUGCAGAGGAAGCCGACUUGACUUCCUCGACUGCACACAGCCUGAGUCAUGACAGAGCUGCGUAUUCAAAGAUCUGGCCGUUGGAGGCCCUAAGUGCCCCAAAGUCAACACAGAGGUGUAAUUCCCUGACAAAGCACCUACUUUGGAACCAGUCAAGAAAAGGGUGUGUUCUUGGU